ACUUGACGGUACCUUUCAAGAAAGCCCCGGCUAACUACGUGCCAGCAGCCGCGGUAAUACGUAGGGGGCGAGCGUUGUCCGGAAUGACUGGGCGUAAAGGGCGCGUAGGCGGCCUGUUAAGUCUGGAGUGAAAGUCCUGCUUUUAAGGUGGGAACUGCUUUGGAUACUGAUGGGCUUGAGUGCAGGAGAGGUAAGCGGAAUUCCCGGUGUAGCGGUGAAAUGCGUAGAGAUCGGGAGGAACACCAGUGGCGAAGGCGGCUUACUGGACUGUAACUGACGCUGAGGCGCGAAAGUGUGGGGAGCAAACAGGAUUAGAUACCCUGGUAGUCCACACUGUAAACGAUGAAUGCUAGGUGUAGGGGGUAUCGACCCCUUCUGUGCCGGAGUAAACACAAUAAGCAUUCCGCCUGGGGAGUACGGCCGCAAGGUUGAAACUCAAAGGAAUUGACGGGGGCCCGCACAAGCAGCGGAGCAUGUGGUUUAAUUCGAAGCAACGCGAAGAACCUUACCAGGUCUUGACAUCCAAUAAAACUUGUAGAGAUACAUCGUGCCUUCGGGCGUAUUGAGACAGGUGGUGCAUGGUUGUCGUCAGCUCGUGUCGUGAGAUGUUGGGUUAAGUCCCGCAACGAGCGCAACCCUUGUGAUCAGUUACUAACGGAUAAUGCCGAGGACUCUGAUAAGACUGCCGGGGACAACUCGGAGGAAGGUGGGGACGACGUCAAAUCAUCAUGCCCCUUAUGACCUGGGCUACACACGUGCUACAAUGACCGUUACAGAGAGAAGCGAUAUCGAGAGGUGGAGCGGAUCUCAAAAAAGCGGUCCCAGUUCGGAUUGUGGGCUGCAACCCGCCCACAUGAAGUCGGAGUUGCUAGUAAUCGCGGAUCAGCAUGCCGCGGUGAAUACGUUCCUCGGGCCUUGCACUCACCGCCCGUCA
rnacentral:rRNA from 1 species